rnacentral:snoRNA from 12 species
ACCCCAUGAUAUUAAGCCGGCAGAUGCUCGAAUCUCCACGCGCAUUUGUGACUAUGAUUGGGAACAGUAAUGCUCCUGAUGUGUGUAUGUUGUUGCAACUCCUCAAUACUGCUUCAACAAAGAAUUUUCAGUCGACA